CCUACGGGGGACAGCAGUGGGGAAUAUUGCACAAUGGGGGAAACCCUGAUGCAGCGACGCCGCGUGAGUGAAGAAGUAUUUCGGUACGUAAAGCUCUAUCAGCAGGGAAGAAAAUGACGGUACCUGACUAAGAAGCCCCGGCUAACUACGUGCCAGCAGCCGCGGUAAUACGUAGGGGGCAAGCGUUAUCCGGAUUUACUGGGUGUAAAGGGAGCGUAGACGGCAGCGCAAGUCUGGAGUGAAAUCCCAUGGCUUAACCAUGGAACUGCUUUGGAAACUGUGCAGCUAGAGUGCAGGAGAGGUAAGCGGAAUUCCUAGUGUAGCGGUGAAAUGCGUAGAUAUUAGGAGGAACACCAGUGGUGAAGGCGGCUUACUGGACUGUAACUGACGUUGAGGCUCGAAAGCGUGGGGAGCAAACAGGAUUAGAUACCCCAGUAGUC
rnacentral:rRNA from 1 species